UGUAAGUAAGCAUUUCACGGUAAGGUCUACACAUGUUGUAUUCGGUGCAUGUGACAAAUACAAUUUGAAUUGAUUUACUGAAUGUGCCUUUAGGUGCCUCUCCAUGUGUAGGGUAUAGUACUGGCCUGUGUGGUACAGUCUUUCAUAUGUGUAGUAGUUUGUUGCAUCGUAUUGCCUAGUUUAUCAUUUUUGUCAACUUUGAAUUCAAUCUAAGCCAUAGAUUAAGUUCCUCCAUUUUGUACUUGACCUUUUUAUAGAUGCAGACCAGAAGACAUUCAAGCAGCACUUUGAGAGCAAGCAUCCCAAGUCUCCAAUGGUCCCAGUACUGGGUGAUGUGAAGGCCUAAUUGACCACAUACACUCAAAUGGACCUACAGCUGUGAAACACGAUGACCAUGAUUUGAAUGCUGCAACAGACGGAAUAACGUAGAGGGACACGCUUGGACCCCAAGUAUGACUGGACAUGGGCCGGAUAUUUGUGACAACGACCUAAAAGGGGUGCAGAAGCACACCAGCACCCCAUUUGAUGUUUAUUCCAUGGCCAACCAUCUCUCUAGCUACCCCUUAUUCCACACUAUGCAUUUUAUGCCCCAUGGUCCCUCAACUUCUGACACUUUGGAACUCUCCAUCUUAUCUCUAUAAACCCACCUUACCUUCACCCAUUUUCCCUAUGCUGCUUCCUUCACUUGUUCUUUUCCUGAUUUGAUAACAUCUAGACUCAGUAACAUAUUUAAAAGUGUUGUGGUGUACUUUUUUUGCUACCUUUUUUCCACCUGUGUAAUGCUGUCCUGCUUAUUCUGGGGUUCAGACUGAAUGCUGUGGUAAAUGUGCUGCUCACAAUUGGCAGCAGCAACAUGGACCUGUUAAAUCGACAAGAAGGGUGUUGAUAUAGCUGCGUUUAGGCAUGGCUUCCUUGUUUUGAGUAUGUUGUGUGUUUCUCAUUCUGCUGGAGUUGACCUAGUAUUUUAUAUAAAACCUACCUUACACAUCCAGUUUUUCCAUUUGUAACUCGCCCACCAAAAUCACAAUAUGCUGUUUUACAUGUGUUAUUUGUGCUGGUCUAAUUCCUAAAAUGGAAAAGCAGAAUAAUCUGUGGGCUCUUGGAUAGUAAUAAUAGUUAAUAUGGUGCUCAUCAAUGUCACAGGUUUGUGGCAUUGAUGAAUAAAUCAUUGAAUUAAUACUUAAAUUCAGAUGUUUAUAUGUUAUGUAUAAAAAGCAUAUGUAUGCAUUGUUUACUAUUUUGAUUUAUUUAAAACAAUGUAAUUGUUGGA